rnacentral:lncRNA from 1 species
UUGUUUGGAGGUGAAUGCCCUUGAGCCUUCACCAAUACUCCCUUUAUAGAAGUUUGAAGAGGGCAUCAAUGAGGACCCUGAAGCCUAAUAUUUCGGAUCCUAACCUUUUAGAUUAAGCAUAUGUGUUCCUUGAGAACUCAUCUUUCAUGUGGCUCCUCAGCAAGUCAACUCAGCCUGAAUCCCUAGGUAUAUAAGAUCUCUUAUCAUCCCACCUUAUAUUCUGUUGCUUUUAACAGAAACAUGGCAUCACUUAUCUACGAAGGAAACAGAAAACGCUGAACCAAAUGCUACUCUUUUCAGUUAAUAAAUAGCUCCUCGUCUCUGGGAUUGAAAGGCAAAAACGCUGCAGGUCAUAGUUUAUGAAGGAGAUGGAGUACGUGAAGCGGUGAAGGGGGCCUUCCCUUUGACCACCGGCCAUCUGGUUUUCGAACUUCCCACCGGCCAUCAAAAGGUAUUAUUUCAAUAACUUCGUUACUUUCAAAAAGAUAAAGAAAAUCAUUGAAUGACAAAAAAAGACAAAAACAGGGGAGUAAACCCUUGUGUUGAAUUCCCUCGAGUCAUCAGUUUACGCAAAUAUUCCCAUCAAUGAGCCCAUAGACUUCAGAGGUAAAUAUGACAGUCCAUGCAAAGACAUUGGAAGGAAAUAGAUGCUAAAUUUGUAGAGACAAGACACCACCUAGUUUUAUAGCUUUCCAUGGCAUUCAGUAUGAUUAUUAUUUAUUUAUUUUUAUUUUUUAAAAAUAAAUUAUUUAAUACAAAUCAGAUAUAUUUUAUAUUCUACCCACAUGUGGUGCCGGGUUCAAGUAUCCUUUUGUUGAAGGUCAUUCGAGCUUUUCUUGGAAAUGUGGCAUGGGUUACUCGAGCGCACCCAUCCUUUACAUCUAUUGUCCUUAGAAAAGCAAAACGGUUGUUAAAUGACUCACAUGAAAUGUCUAAGAUUAUAAUUAGCUCGUGUUUGGAUUGACCUAUUUAAUUGAGAACGAGUUUUAACAUUACACCAAAUGAAUUCGAUCAACCAACACGACUUGCCACCCCUUAGGACAAUCGUGGUUUCUUGCAACAACUUAAAAAUUAUGCACGAGCGUACUCCUCAUCCCACCAAACAUUGAAAAAGAAAAUGAGGAGGUGAAAUGGAGCAAUUUCUUUCCAACACAAAAAAACAAUAAACCAUGCACAGGACGUGGAAAAGAUGAAGCAAAACAAACCACCCUGAAUUUACCUAGGGAAUGAAGCAGAGAUUUGGAAUUAACAAGCAAAAUAUGAUAACAGACACACAGGCUACGUGGUGGUAACCCACUUACAUUACAGAACUUGGGAGAAAGUUUUGGCAUAAGGAGAAUGCGUCUUAUUUGGCUAACUUCUCAGCACAAACUAACUAGCAGAAGAUGAUAACAGACACUCAACUUUGUGGUGAUAAA